rnacentral:rRNA from 1 species
CCUACGGGAGGCAGCAGUGAGGAAUAUUGGUCAAUGGGCUUACGCCUGAACCAGCCAAGUCGCGUGAGGGAAGAAUGUACUAUGGGUUGUAAACCUCUUUUGUCAGGGAGCAAUUGGCGCUACGUGUAGCGUUAUCGCGAGUACCUGAAGAAAAAGCAUCGGCUAACUCCGUCCCAGCAGCCGCGGAAAUACGGAGGAUGCGAGCUUUAUCCGGAUUUAUUGGGUUUAAAGGGUGGGUAGGCGUAAUGCCAAGUCAUCGGUAAAAUCGCGGGGCUCAACUUCGCUCCGCCGUUGAAACUGGCGGUCUUGAGUGGGCGAGAAGUAGGCGGAAUGCGUGGUGUAGCGGUGAAAUGCAUAGAGAUCGCGCAGAACUCCGAUUGCGAAGGCAGCAUACCGGCGCCCAACUGACGCUGAGGCACGAAAGCGUGGGUAUCGAACAGGAUUAGAUACCCUUGUAGUC